CCAGCUCUCUUUGCCAUUCUUUGGCUUAGAUCAAGUGUAGUAUCUGUUCUUUUCAGGUUAAUCUCUGAAACACCUCUACGGAGGCAUUCUGGAUUGCCCUACUUUUUGAACCCCGGGCGACGGCCGCUGAGCUUGCUCAUGUCGCUGCCCACGGUGUCGCCUGUGCUGCACUGCUGCAGGCUGACGCGAAACUUU
rnacentral:snRNA from 1 species